rnacentral:rRNA from 1 species
GGGAGCCGAAGGGAAACCGAGUCUUAACCGGGCGUUAAGUUGCAGGGUAUAGACCCGAAACCCGGUGAUCUAGCCAUGGGCAGGUUGAAGGUUGGGUAACACUAACUGGAGGACCGAACCGACUAAUGUUGAAAAAUUAGCGGAUGACUUGUGGCUGGGGGUGAAAGGCCAAUCAAACCGGGAGAUAGCUGGUUCUCCCCGAAAGCUAUUUAGGUAGCGCCUCGUGAAUUCAUCUCCGGGGGUAGAGCACUGUUUCGGCAAGGGGGUCAUCCCGACUUACCAACCCGAUGCAAACUGCGAAUACCGGAGAAUGUUAUCACGGGAGACACACGGCGGGUGCUAACGUCCGUCGUGAAGAGGGAAACAACCCAGACCGCCAGCUAAGGUCCCAAAGUCAUGGUUAAGUGGGAAACGAUGUGGGAAGGCCCAGACAGCCAGGAUGUUGGCUUAGAAGCAGCCAUCAUUUAAAGAAAGCGUAAUAGCUCACUGGUCGAGUCGGCCUGCGCGGAAGAUGUAACGGGGCUAAACCAUGCACCGAAGCUGCGGCAGCGACACUGUGUGUUGUUGGGUAGGGGAGCGU